GACGAGCCACACGAACGUUAUUCGGAAUUACUGGGCUUAAAGGGUGCGUAGGCGGUGCGGAAAGUUGGGUGUGAAAUCCCUCGGCUCAACCGAGGAACUGCGCCCAAGACUACCGCACUUGAGGAAGAUAGAGGUGAGCGGAACUCACGGUGGAGCGGUGAAAUGCGUUGAUAUCGUGAGGAACACCCGUGGCGAAAGCGGCUCACUGGGUCUUUUCUGACGCUGAUGCACGAAAGCUAGGGGAGCAAACGGG
rnacentral:rRNA from 1 species